rnacentral:lncRNA from 1 species
CCCCCGCUUGGGGAGGGCUCCCCUCGCCCCGCGUGUCCCGCUGCGGGGCUGCCUCCACGCGGCUGUCCCCCCCCGUCCAGUGUAACCUCGGGUCCGUUCGCAUUAAACCACUGUGAAGCCAAGUCUCUGCCUCGUCCUGCGGGCUCGGGGGGAGGGCGGAGGCGGGGAGGGGGGGGGGAACCGGGGCCGGCCUCCGCCCGGCAGAGGGCGCGGCGGGGCUUGGCGGGGGGGGUGCCCGCGGCUCGGGCCGGCCGGGAUGCGGCGGGCGGAGGGGCCGGCGGCGGGGCCCGGCUCCCCGGGCUGCCCCGACCUGCUGCUGCACGUCGGCGGGCCGAGCUCGCCGCUCUCGCCGCUUUUCCUCAGCUUCUUCGAGGAGGAGUGCAGCGCCAUCGCCGCCCGCCUGCGCAUGGGAGCCGCCGCCGCGGGGCCGUCCCCGGGGGGCGCCGCCGCCGGGCCCGUCACCUCCACGCCCGUCACCUCCGGGCCCGUCGCCUCCGCGCCGCUGCGCCCCUCGCAGCCCCCCGCCGGGGACGCCCCCGGUGCGACCCCCGGGGAGCCGCCGCCGCCCUCCGCCUCCGGGGAGCCCGGGGAGCCGCGGCCCCGCUCCCGCCUCGCCCGGCCGCAGCCCCGCAGGGCCGCCCGCCGCGGGGCCGGGCAGGGCGCACCGAGCCGCACCGGGCCCCCCGGCCGGUCCCCGGGGCGCCCGCGGGCAUCGCUGGGGCGGGAGCCCCCCAGGGCCGGCCGGGGGCCGGGAGCCCCCGCAGCGAGGCUCCCCCUGCCCUCAGGUGAGCCCAGCCGGAGGGAGCCCGGCUCCGGGCACCGUGCUCUCAUCACCCAGUGCCCGACACCCCCUGCGUCCCCCAGGUACGAAGCCGAAGCCGGCCGCCAAGCCCAGGCUGCAGCACCCCGGUGGGGCUCCGCAGCUGGCGCUGCCGUCUGCCGUACCCAGACCCACGCCCCGGGACAAGGAGAUGGAAACUGCUGGCAAGGCUGCGGGUCACAGACAGCCCUCGAAGAGGCUUUCUACAGCAAUCCCUACCGUGGCUUCUCGCUCCCGACUGCGGCCGCCAGGAAGAGUGGCUUCCCCCAAGCGCUCUUACCUAGGAUCGACUACCCAGGAGCUGCUGUGCAACAGGACCCGAGAGCUGAAGGAAAACGGCAAGGCUGA